AUAGAUAUAGAUGUGAAAAUAUAAUAUUAUCGAUCAUUAAUGCUAAAGUUGAAUGUUACAAAAUAUCUCAAGUAUUGACACUUGUCAUAAACUUCUACAUGACUUAUGGUUCACCAUGUUCACAUUCAUAAUAUGCAUUAAACAAGAUAUAACGUACGCUUGAUACCUAUUUACUAGUUAGUAUAAAACCCAUCUAUAUAUUUAUAUAUAUACAGAAGAAGGAAGAUAAGAACCUUCAAACUUGACUAAAAUAAUUAACUAAUAAGGCAUGGAGAGGAAGGUCUUGACAGUGUUGUUGCUCAUUGUUGUUCUUAUUUCCCAUGAAAUAUCACUGAGUGGAACUGAAGCAAAAACAUGUGAAGUGGAAAGUGAAAAAUACUCAGGACUUUGCCUAUAUCGCGACAAUUGUGUGGAAAUAUGCCAAAGUGAGGGCUUUCCAUACGGCAAAUGCUCCAAGAUACGACGUCGUUGCAUGUGCCUUAAGCCUUGUGUUUGAUAUAUAUGAUUAUAACAGUACUUACCUACUCUACUCAUAAAUAAUAAGUAAAAUAAGAUAUUAAUGUAAGAUUAAUUUUAGUGCUGCAAAACUAAACCUUUGAUCUAUACAUGGCUAUAUGGGUAUUAUUAUGUACUGUGUAGUAGAAAAUAGAAAUCAAUGAAUGAAUAAAAAUAAAGUAAUAAUUUUUUUUUA